rnacentral:rRNA from 1 species
GACGAACGCUGGCGGCGUGCCUAAUACAUGCAAGUUGAGCGCUGAAGGUUGGUACUUGUACCAACUGGAUGAGCAGCGAACGGGUGAGUAACGCGUGGGGAAUCUGCCUUUGAGCGGGGGACAACAUUUGGAAACGAAUGCUAAUACCGCAUAAAAACUUUAAACACAAGUUUUAAGUUUGAAAGAUGCAAUUGCAUCACUCAAAGAUGAUCCCGCGUUGUAUUAGCUAGUUGGUGAGGUAAAGGCUCACCAAGGCGAUGAUACAUAGCCGACCUGAGAGGGUGAUCGGCCACAUUGGGACUGAGACACGGCCCAAACUCCUACGGGAGGCAGCAGUAGGGAAUCUUCGGCAAUGGACGAAAGUCUGACCGAGCAACGCCGCGUGAGUGAAGAAGGUUUUCGGAUCGUAAAACUCUGUUGGUAGAGAAGAGCGUUGGUGAAAGUGGAAAGCUCAUCAAGUGACGGUAACUACCCAGAAAGGGACGGCUAACUACGUG